GCCCAGAACAGAAUCUCAGUUCAACUUUAAAUUUACCCAAUAAACAUCAAAUUGUAAUGUAAAUUUAAAAUAUAGUCUAAAAAGGUACAGCUUUUUAGAACAAGGAUACAACCUUGCUUAGAGAGUAAAAUCAAAUAAAACCAUAGUAGGCCUAAGAGCAGCCACCAAUUAAGAAAGCGUUCAAGCUCAACAAUAUACCCCCCUUAAUCCCCACAAUCCAAAAUAACUCCUAAUAUACUACUGGGCUAAUCUAUUUAAUAAUAGAAGCAAUAAUGCUAAUAUGAGUAACAAGAAAUACUUCUCCUUGCAUAAGCUUAUACCUGCUAACGAAUGCUCACUGAUAGUUAACAACACGAUAAAAUAAACCACUAAUAAACACAUCUAUCAAACCAAUUGUUAAUCCAACACAGGCAUGCAGUAAGGAAAGAUUAAAAGAAGUAAAAGGAACUCGGCAAACUCAAACCCCGCCUGUUUACCAAAAACAUCACCUCCAGCAUAUCUAGUAUUGGAGGCACUGCCUGCCCAGUGACAUUAGUUUAACGGCCGCGGUAUCCUGACCGUGCAAAGGUAGCAUAAUCAUUUGUUCUCUAAAUAGGGACUUGUAUGAAUGGCCACACGAGGGUUUAACUGUCUCUUACUUCCAAUCAGUGAAAUUGACCUUUCCGUGAAGAGGCGGGAAUACACAAAUAAGACGAGAAGACCCUAUGGAGCUUUAAUUAACUAACCCAUAAUAAUUUAUAAACUCACCUACCAGGUCUAACACAACAUUAUUACUGGGUUAACAAUUUAGGUUGGGGUGACCUCGGAGAAUAAAACAACCUCCGAGUGAUUAAAUCACAGACAAACCAGUCGAAGCAUUUUAUCAUUUAUUGAUCCAAUAUCUUGAUCAACGGAACAAGUUACCCUAGGGAUAACAGCGCAAUCCUAUUUGAGAGUCCAUAUCAACAAUAGGGUUUACGACCUCGAUGUUGGAUCAGGACAUCCUAAUGGUGCAGCAGCUAUUAAGGGUUCGUUUGUUCAACGAUUAAAG
rnacentral:rRNA from 1 species